rnacentral:pre_miRNA from 2 species
UCUUGUGGAUGGAUGAGCAAAGAAAGUGGUUUCUUGAGAUGGAAUCUACUCCUGGUGAAAAAUCUGUGAA